ACGUAGGGCGCAAGCGUUGUCCGGAAUUAUUGGGCGUAAAGAGCUCGUAGGCGGUUCGUCGCGUCUGCUGUGAAAUCCUCAGGCUCAACCUGGGGCGUGCAGUGGGUACGGGCGGACUAGAGUGCGGUAGGGGUGACUGGAAUUCCUGGUGUAGCGGUGGAAUGCGCAGAUAUCAGGAGGAACACCGAUGGCGAAGGCAGGUCACUGGGCCGCAACUGACGCUGAGGAGCGAAAGCAUGGGGAGCGAACAGGAUUAGAUACCCUGGUAGUCCAUGCCGUAAACGUUGGGCACUAGGUGUGGGGUCCAUUCCACGGGUUCCGUGCCGCAGCAAACGCAUUAAGUGCCCCGCCUGGGGAGUACGGCCGCAAGGCUA
rnacentral:rRNA from 1 species